GAUGAACGCUGGCGGCGUGCCUAAUACAUGCAAGUCGAGCGAACAGACGAGGAGCUUGCUCCUCUGACGUUAGCGGCGGACGGGUGAGUAACACGUGGAUAACCUACCUAUAAGACUGGGAUAACUUCGGGAAACCGGAGCUAAUACCGGAUAAUAUCUUUAACCGCAUGGUUCAAUAGUGAAAGACGGUUUUGCUUUCACUUAUAGAUGGAUCCACGUCGCAUUAGCUAUUUGGUAAGGUAACGGCUUACCAAGGCAACGAUGCGUAGCCGACCUGAGAGGGUGAUCGGCCACACGGGAACUGAGACACGGUCCAGACUCCUACGGGAGGAACAAGUAGGGAAUUUUGGGCAAUGGGCGAAAUCCUGACGGAGCAACGCGGCGUGAGUGAUGAAGGUCUUCGGUUCGUAAAACUCUGUUAUUAGGGAGGAACAAAUGUGUAAGGAAAUACGCACGUAGUGACGGUACCUAACCAGAAAGCCACGGCUAACUACGUG
rnacentral:rRNA from 1 species